GUCUCUGUAUGUAUGUGUCGGUGUGUGUGUCUCUGUAUGUAUGUGUCUGUACCAUACAGACACAUACAUACAGAGACACACAUACAUACUGUAACA